GAUGAACGCUGGCGGCGUGCCUAAUACAUGCAAGUCGAGCGAACAGACGAGGAGCUUGCUCCUCUGACGUUAGCGGCGGACGGGUGAGUAACACGUGGAUAACCUACCUAUAAGACUGGGAUAACUUCGGGAAACCGGAGCUAAUACCGGAUAAUAUAUUGAACCGCAUGGUUCAAUAGUGAAAGACGGUUUUGCUGUCACUUAUAGCUGGAUCCGCGCCGCAUUAGCUAGUUGGUAAGGUAACGGCUUACCAAGGCAACGAUGCGUAGCCGACCUGAGAGGGUGAUCGGCCACACUAGAACUGAGACACGGUCCAGACGCCUACGGGAGGCAGCAGUAGGGAAUCUUCCGCAAUGGGCGAAAGCUUGACGGAGCAACGCCGCGUGAGUGAUGAAGGUCUUCGGAUCGUAAAACUCUGUUAUUAGGGAAGAACAAAUGUGUAAGUAACUAUGCACGUCUUGACGGUACCUAAUCAGAAAGCCACGGCUAACUACGUG
rnacentral:rRNA from 1 species